GGUAUUAAGCUGAAAAUAAGUCCCUAUAGGGGCAAAUAAUGACUACUUUAAAAUAUUUGAGGUCAUCUUAUGUAGGUUAUGUGGUGGAUUUUCCCUGUGAUGCUUCAUAGAAAAUCACUAGGCCUAAUAGGUGAGGUUUCAGAGAGGUAACGUUUCAACUCAAUGAAAGACUUGUCCAGGUAAAGGUAUAUAGUUGGAAUCAGGGCCUUAAUUAUAUGAUGGGACUCAUGCUUUAUUUUUGGUUCUAGAGACUGGAUUUGUCAAGUUGGGAACAUAGAAUUAAUUUUUAUGUCAUCUUGGAUAAAACAGAAUAUCUGCACUGUUUUCUCGUUACUUUCUAAGUCAAGUACUGACUGGAUGAAGAAAGAGCUGUCUCCUACCCUUUGUGACUCUUGAAUCCGCUCAGUCUUGGAACUACUGACUCCCCACAUGUUGGGUGAAUCAUGGCACUAGAUAAAGUGAAGUAAAAUCACUCAUCAUCAGGAUUAGUUCUAACAGCAUCUGCAGAAACCAAAGGAGAGCCAUGAUGUGACAGCUCUUUUGAAAACCUCCGUCAGAGUCAUCUGCUUCCUCUCGUUAUGUCUUUCCUCUUCAACUAUUUCCUCAGCCUGUACAUCUGGAGAAUCUCCUGUUCUGCAGUAAGUUAUCUUUGUUUCAUGAAAUCUGUGCAAUUUGUACAACACUUUCAACUAUCUUUAAAAUAGACAACACCCUGUCUGGGUCACACAGAUUGGACCACUGAGUGAAUACGUAGCAUUCUUUUUAGCCCUUUUGACAAUGGAUAAGGCCACCAUCACAAGGCAUUGGGUUCAUUUAAAAUUGGUGCCACAUCAUAGGGUUCACAAAUCACAAUGACAUAAAAAGAAGUAUUAUUUUUACCCCUCUCCACACCCACCUUAUUCUUCAUCUAUCCUUCUAGCACUCUAUAGCAAGCAUUUCAGUUCUGCAUAUAUGUAAAUUAAUUCUUAAAUGAUUACAGGGCCAUGGUGGCUUCUUAAAUAGGUGAUAAUUUUUUAAAGAUAUUUUUAAAAAGUCAGUAUUUGGAGUUGUAUAAUCCUUAGACUCCUGAAAACAAAUCUCUACUGUCAAUUAUUUGUAGGCUGAAGUAAAAGAACUGGCCUUGACUCUCAGAUGGAAUAGAUAAAUAUCAAACAUAUGGUUGGUUUUUAUAACCAUAUAAUCCAACUUAAAAACAAGAAUGUACCAACAGAAACUAAAAAGAUCAGCAUAAAACUUUUGUCACAAUAGGCAGGUCCUUUUAAAAGAAGAUGGCAAAUGUUUAGGUCCAUUUACACUGACUUGCUUGCAUUGGCUUCAGAAGAAUAAAGCUAAAAAAUACGGGCAAGAAUAAUCUUUAAGAAAAUAUAACUAGUUCAGAAGUAUUUACUUUGUAGAAAUAAAGUCCCAGGGGCAGAAAUACAGUGACCACAGGUAUGUGAGCUUGUAAAAAAUCUAGUUAAAGGAGAAGGCACAGUAUCACUAAAUCAAAUCAUAAGGUCUGACCACUGAGAUGUUCAGUUUGCUACAACUCAGAACUCCAGGGAGAAAAUGGUUCAUGAUGAACAAUCCAUUAUCCUUAGAUUAUUUGGAGCAAUAAAACACCUGAAAUAUUUCAAAAUGAAGUCAUAAUUCUGAUUGUCAAAAGUUUUAUCUCAUUUAAACUAAACAAUCAAUUACCACAUGUGCUUUAAAAUACAUGUUGUUACUUAACUUGGGUCUUUGGAAGCAGGUGAAUUGAGAGUGGACAGUUAAGUUCCUCCACUUAAUCUUCAACCUUUUCCUUGUGUCUCUGUAUUGCUAAUACAAAUCUUAAGCCAGAGCAUGUUUGUUCUUCAAGGUCUGUAAUAGCAGGUACAAAUCAGCUCUGCUAUGUUGACAGCCUUAAUUGAAUAUGCUCAACAUUAGAUUAAAAAAUUAAAAGUAUAAUUCCUUUCACCUUGCAGGGAUGUUUUAAAGUUAAUUAUAUAAGCCAAAAGAGAGGAAACAAUCAACCUCACCACGUAUUAGGAAUCAUUUUCAUCAUUACCCAUCAUUCUUUAGGAAUCAUGUCAUAUGAUUUAUUACCUAAGUGUUCAAACAUUUUCUUUUUUGUCAAAGUUUAUUACCAAAUGGUCUAUGUAAAAUAUAGUAAGAUUUGUCUCCUUGCCGUGAAACUUAGUUUAUCAUUUAAAAUUUAAAAAUCCAGGAGAGACUUAAUUCGAUGCUACACAAUUAUGGAAGGAGAAAGUGCAGACGUGAGUGUAUUAGAAAAUAUCCUUCCCUCUCUGUUACCUUGUGUCUGGGGUUCAACCCUUUAUAGAGUAUUUUUCCUUCCCCAUAGUGUCAGCACCCCUAAUUUCAUUUGGGAUAUGCUUGUUUUUCAAGACAGAAGGUAAGAUUUUCCUUUUUGUUGUUUAAUUUUUUUUAAUGUUUUAAAGAACUCUAUAAAAGUAAUCAGCAUACACAUUUUUAAAUAUUAAAAUGCAGAUAAUGAUUCCAUUAAUCCCGUCUUUCUGUCCUUACCUUUUAGUCUUUCUCCUCAAAGGCAGUUGCCCUCAACAGUGUAUCUGCUGAUGUAAGUUUGAUAAAUUCACUUGAGCAUCUGCUGAAUUUGUCUAAGUGGAAGUGUCUAGAAAAUCGUUGGAUGUACAGGCCUGAAAUCUAGGAGCGAAAUCUUGGAUACAUGUAUUGCUUUGGGAAUUCUCAAUAUAAGGGUGGUAUUUGGAGCUAUGAAAAUAAUAUCUGUCUCAGUGUUUGCGUUUUCAAAUAUGUGUGGGAGAGCUCUUUGCAAAAGGAUCACAUAAAUGUAGAGUAUUCUUAGAGAAUACAUAGGUUUAAGUGUGCAAAUAGGAAGCUUAGUAUUAAUAAACCUUGGUAGGCCACUGUAUAUCUUGACUACAAGUAACUAGAGACAACAAGAAAAGAGAGAUGAUACAACAAACUGGGUAAAAAACAGCUCAAAGAACAGCAGGAGUGGAAUGGAGGAAAAGAAACUGGAACUCAAUGUUAGGUUUUCUUUUUCUUUUCUUUUUUUUUUUAGGGCUGCACCCGAGGCAUAUGGAAUUUCCCAGGCUAGGGGUCAAAUUGCAGCUGCAGCUGCUGGCUUAUGCCUCAGACACAGCAACAUGGCAUCGAAGCCGCGUCUGCAACCUACACCCAGCUCCUGGCAACACCAGAUACUUACCCCCCUGAGCGAAGCAUCUUCACGGAUACUAGUUGGAUUUGUUGCCAUUUAGCCACAAUGGGAACUCCUAGGUUUUCUUGAGAUUAAACCUAGAAGGAGGAAUUUGGGGUUAAUGAUUUCUUAAGCAUCACAGGAUUUUCCAUGGAGAUGGACAUAACUAAAAUAGAGUAUUCUUGCAUGAAAAAUUGUACAGUAAGUAAAAUUUGCCUUAACUUCUUUCAAUAUAAGUGCCUUUUCUUUUUAUACUGUGGUUUCUCAGAAUUCUCUGCUUCAGUGUUCUACUCAGUUUCAUCCCUUCUGAUCAAGUUUCUUCAUCUAGAAGUUUUUCCUUCACUUUCAUCAAAACUCACCUGAACUUCCACUACUGUCCAUGAAAGAUUAACUGCUAUGAGAAUUGUUUUUCUACCAAAUACAUUUAUAAAAUGGGACAAAGGACGAAAAAGUUUACACCUUGAACAAGAGGCAGUGCACAACUGUGAUCUCUGAGGUUAGAAAAUAAAUGAGGUAAAUCCUAAAAUGUCCCUAAUUUUCAUGUGCAGGGGCAGUUUGCAGAUACAGCACAUUCAGGGGACAUUCAGCCCAGGUGAGAUGAUCUAGCUGAGUUGGUAACUGAACUUAGAGCUAAGGGAGGCGAUUGGAUAAAAUUCAUAGGGCACAAUAUCCAAAAAAGGGGUUGUACACACACACGCAGUGUUUUGGAAGUCUGCAAAAAUGUCCUCUUGAGACUUUGAUUGAAUAGAUGUAUAUAACAGACGAAGUAAAAUGUCAUAAAGCCAAGGAAAACACCAACUAGAGAUAGUAGGAAAUUCUCUGGAGCUCACCUAUAGCUGGGAAGAAUGUGUGUUCCUGGCAGUCAGAGGUGAUAAACUUCAUUAGGCAUGCAGCAUCGGUAGACUCCUCAGAAGUGUAAAGCUUGUUUUAAAACUUCAAUAAAAAAGUGAAAAAGAUAGCUCUGUUUUUAGUUUUUUUAUUGAGAAACUCACAUACUGUCUUCCACAGCUGUUGUACCAACUUACAUUUCCACCAAAAGUGUAAGAGUGUUCCCCUUUUUUCAUACCCUCUCUAGCGUUUAUGAUUUGUAGGGUUUUUGAUAGUAGCCAUUCUGACUGGUGUGAGAUGAUAACUUGUAGUUCUGGUUUGCAUUUCUCUAACAGUUGUUGAUGUUGGGCAUCUUUUCAUGUGCUUUUUGGCCAUCUGUCUGUCUUCUUUGGAGACAUCUAUUUAGAUCUUUUGCCCAUUUUUAUUUAUUUUUUAAUAUUUAUUUCCCCAAUGCAAUUUUUCUUCCUACUAUACAGCAUGGUGACCCAGUUACACAUACAUGUACACAUUCUAUUUUCUCACAUUAUCAUGCUCCAUCAUAAGUGACUAGACAUAGUUCCAAGUGCUACACAGCAGGAUCUCAUUGCUAAUCCAUUUCCAAAGUUUCACCCAUUUUAAAAUAUUGGGUUUUUGUUUUUUUGUUUUUUUGAUAUUAAGCUGGAUGAGUUUGUAUAUUUUGAAGAUUAAUCCCUUGUCAUUUUCUACCAUAUGAUCCAGGAAUCCCCCUCCUGGUCAUAUAUCUGGAAAUAAUCAUAUUUUGAAAAGAUAAAUGCACCAUAAAAUUCGUUGCAGCACUAUUUACAAUAGCCAGAAUAUGGUAGCAACCUAAAUGUCCAUCGAUAGAGGAAUGGAUAAAGAAGAUACAGUGUAUAUAUAUAUGGACAUUAUGGGUAUAUAAAUGAAGAUUACUCAGCCGUAAAAGAGAAUAAAAUAAUGCCAUUUGCAGCAACAUGGAUGGGCCUAAAGAUUAUCAUACUAAGUGAAGUAAGUCAGAUGGAGAAAGAAUAAUAUCAUAUGAUAUCAUUUAUUUGUGUAAUUUUAAAAAAUUAUGCAGAUGAACUUAUUUACAAAAUAGAAACAGAUUCACAGACUUUGAAAACAAACUUAUGUUUAUCAAAGGGGAAGGGUUGACCAGAUGGACUGGAGGGUUUGAAAUUGGAAAAUGCAUACUUUUGUAUAUGGAAUAGAUGAUAAGUGGGGACCCAAUGCGUAGCACAGAGAAAUCUACUCAAUGUUCUAUGAUAACCUAUAUGGGAAAGGAUACAUGUAUAUGUGUGGCUGAAUCAGUUUGAUGUACAGCAGAAAUUAAUGCAACAUUGUAAAUCAACUAUACUUCCAUAAUUUUUCUUUUUCUUUUUCUUUUUGCCUUUUUUAAGGCUACACUUGAGGCAUAUGGAGGUUCCCAGGCUAGGGGUCCAACUGGAACUAUAAACACCAGCCUACGCCACAGCCACAGCAAUGCCAGAUCUGAGCCACAUCUGCAGCCUACACCACAGCUCACAGCAAUGCCAGAUCCUCAAUCACUGAUAGAGGCCAGGGAUUGAACCUGCAACCUCAAAGUUCCUAGUUGGAUUUGUUUCCACUUAGCCACAACAGGAACUCAAUAAUUUUUCUUAAAAAAUGAAAAAGAAUUCCUUGUUCUUUUUUAUGGCUGAGUAGUAUUCCAUUGUGCAUAUAUACACCACAUCUUCCUAAUCCAAUCAUCUGUUGAUGGACAUUUGGGUUGAUUCCAUGUCUUGGAUAUUGUGAAUAGUGCUGUGGUGAACAUGCGGGGGCAUGUGUCCUUUUUAAGGAAAGUUUUGUCCAGAUAUAUGCCUAAGAGUGUAUGUGUUACUGGGUCACCAUGCUGUACAGUAGGAAAAAAGUUGUAUUGGGGAAAUAACAAUUUAAAAAGUUAAAAAAAAAAAAGAAUACCUUGAAAGCAUCAAACUUAUUCUAGGUCAGAAAAAAGCUGCAAACUAUUUUAAAGAAAAAUAUCAUCACUCAAAAUCUCACAAUUCAUAAUUUCUUACAUCUAAUAAGCAUGCAAAAGAGCAGGACUAUAUGGCUUUUUUUUUUUUUUUUUUGUCUUUUUGCCAUUUCUGGGCCGCUCCCGCAGCAUAUGGAGGUUCCCAGGCUAGGGAUCGAAUCGGAGCAAUAGCUGCCAGCCUACGCCAGAGCCACAGCAACGUGGGAUCUGAACCGAGUCUGUGACCUACACCACAGCUCAUGGCAACGCCGGAUCAUUAACCCACUGAGCAAGGGCAGGAAUCGAACCCACAACCUCAUGGUUCCUAGUAGGAUUCGUUAACCACUGUGCCACAACAGGAACUCCAUAUAUGGCUCAUUUUUGAUAGAAAAAAAUUAAUAGAAACAGACCUAGAUAUGAGAAAAAUGAUGGAGUGAUCAGACAAAUGUCUUAAGCAUCUAGUAUAAACCUUAAAAACAAAUUUAAGGAUAUUAAGAGAACAUAAGAGAUAGAAACUAUAAAAGUAAAACUUUUAGAACUUCUAGAGAUUCAAGUAUAAUAUUUGAAUGAAAAAUACAUUAGAUGCAAUCAAUUACAGAUUAGAAAUUGCAGAAGGAAACAUUAGUGAACUUGAAGGCAUACCAAUAGAAAAUAUCUAAGAUUUGCUUCAUCAAGGACCUGUGAGAUAAUAAGUUGCCUUAUAUAAGUAAAAUUGGAGUCUGGUAGGGGAGGGAAGAAAGAAUGAUCAAAAUAGAAAUUUCGUAUUGUGGCUCAGUGGUAAUAAGCCCAACUAUUAUCCAUGAGGAUGCAGGUUUGAUUCUUGGCCUUGCUCAGUGGAUUAAGGAUCCAGCAUUGCUGUGAGCUGUGAUGUAGGUCACAGACACAGCCCAGAUCCCACCUUGCUGUGGCUGUGGCAGUGGCUGUGGCCAGCAGCUACAGCUCUGAUUCAACCCCUAGCCUGGGAACUUCCAUAUGGGUACAGCCCUAAAAAAAA
ensembl:lncRNA